UAGGGAAUCUUCCGCAAUGGACGCAAGUCUGACGGAGCAACGCCGCGUGAGUGAAGAAGGAUUUCGGUUCUUAAAACUCUGUUGUUAGAGAAGAACAGCGCAUAGAGUAACUGUUAUGCGUGUGACGGUAUCUAACCAGAAAGCCACGGCUAACUACGUGCCAGCAGCCGCGGUAAUACGUAGGUGGCAAGCGUUGUCCGGAUUUAUUGGGCGUAAAGCGAGCGCAGGCGGUCAAUUAAGUCUGAUGUGAAAGCCCCCGGCUCAACCGGGGAGGGUCAUUGGAAACUGGUUGACUUGAGUGCAGAAGAGGAGAGUGGAAUUCCAUGUGUAGCGGUGAAAUGCGUAGAUAUAUGGAGGAACACCGGUGGCGAAAGCGGCUCUCUGGUCUGUAACUGACGCUGAGGCUCGAAAGCGUGGGGAGCGAACAGG
rnacentral:rRNA from 1 species